AUGGAGUCAGUGGGAGUGAUCGCCGACAGUGCAGCGCCUCUGCUCCUCGCGGCCGUCGUCGCCGUCUUCCUCGCCGGUACGCUGGUCAGGAGGCAUGGCGGGCAUGCCAAGAACGGCCGCCUCCCCCCGAGCCCCGUGGCGCUGCCGCUGAUCGGCCACCUCCACCUGAUCCGCGAGCCCCCGCACCGCGCCUUCCACCGCAUCCUCGCCCGCCACGGCCCGCUCGUCCACCUCCGCCUCGGCCCCUCCACGCACUGCGUCGUCGUUGGCUCCGCCGACGCCGCCCGCGACGUGCUCAAGUUCGAGGGCAGCAUCCCGGAGCGCCCCCAGACGGCCGUCACGCGGCAGCUCGCCUACGGCGCCUCCGGCUUCGCCUUCGCGCCCUACGGCCCGCACUGGCGCUUCAUGAAGCGCCUCUGCAUGUCGGAGCUGCUCGGCCCGCGCACCAUCGACCUGCUCCGCCCUGUCCGCGCCGCCGAGCUCGCCGGCGUCAUGGGGGCGGCCGCCGCGGCGGCCGCGAGCCGCGAGGCGCUGGACGUGAGCGGGCAGCUCAUCCGGCUGUCCAACAACGCCAUGAUGCGGAUGGUCGCCAGCGCGCUGCCCGGCGACAUGGCCGACCUGGCCCGCGACUGCGCCAAGCAGGUGGCGGAGCUGGUCGGCGCCUUCAACCUCGAGGACUACGUGGCGCUGUUCCGCGGCUGGGACCUGCAGGGGCUGUCCCGGCGGACGCGCGGCGUGCACGCCCGGUUCGACGCGCUGCUCGAGUCCAUCAUCCGGGCCAAGGAGAAGCAGCGGCGCGACGGGGCCGACGGGGGCAAGACCAAGGACCUGCUCGACAUCCUCAUGGACGCCGCCGCGGACCCGGCCGCCGAGGUCAAGCUCACCCGGGACAACAUCAAGGCGUUCGUCCUCGACAUCUUCACGGCCGGGUCGGACACGACGGCGACGACCGUGGAGUGGAUGCUGGCGGAGCUGCUGACCCACCCGGACUGCAUGCGGAAGCUGCGGGCGGAGCUGGACGCCGUGGUGGGGAGGUCCCGGGUGGUGGGCGAGCCGGACGUGGCGCAGAUGCCGUACCUGCAGGCGGUGCUCAAGGAGACGCUGCGGCUGCGGCCGCCGGCGGUGAUCGCGCACCGGGAGGCGGUGGAGCCGAUCCGCGUGCGCGGGUACACCAUCCCGGCCGGGACGUCCGUCUUCUUCAACAUCUACUCCAUCGGGCGCGACGCGGCGUGGUGGGAGGACCCGCUGGAGUUCCGGCCGGAGCGGUUCAUGCCGGGCGGGGCCGGCGAGGGCGUGGACCCCAAGGGGCAGCACCCGCAGCUGAUGCCGUUCGGGAGCGGCCGGCGCGCGUGCCCCGGCAUGGGCAUGGCCCUGCUGGCCGUGCCGGCGUUCCUGGCGGCCCUGGUGCAGUGCUUCGACUGGGAGGUGCCCGCCCCGCCGCUGGACAUGGAGGAGGGCGAGGGGCUCGUCAUCCCGAGGAAGCAGCCGCUGCUGCUCCGGCCGACGCUCCGCCUCGGCCAUCUGCCCCUGCCCUAG
rnacentral:rRNA from 1 species